CUACGGGAUGCUGCAGUAGGGAAUUUUGCGCAAUGGGCGAAAGCCUGACGCAGCAACACCGCGUGAGCGAUGAAGCCCUUUGGGGUGUAAAGCUCUGUCAGUAGGGACGAAAUUUGACGGUACCUACAGAGGAAGCAUCGGCUAACUACGUGCCAGCAGCCGCGGUAAGACGUAGGAUGCAAGCGUUGUCCGGAAUUAUUGGGCGUAAAGCGUUCGUAGGCGGCAUAUCAAGUCUAGUGUUAAAGCCCGAUGCUCAACAUCGGUUCGGCACUGGAUACUGGUAAGCUAGAGUGUGGUAGAGGCAAGGAGAAUUCCCAGUGUAGCGGUGAAAUGCGUAGAUAUUGGGAGGAAUACCGGUGGCGAAAGCGCCUUGCUGGGCCAUAACUGACGCUGAGGAACGAAAGCCAGGGUAGCAAAUGGGAUUAGAUACCCGUGUAGUC
rnacentral:rRNA from 1 species